AGCCAAUCUCUCUUCUGAGCAGCUCUGCUGGUCAGAGGCCCCUCCCCUAGUAUUGAUUUCCUGCUUCUGCAGAGCCAGAGAGGGGAUACUGAGAAUCUUGCAAGUUUCCACUUUCCCAGACAUGUGCUGUUUUGUUUACCUCCUGAGUCUCAUAAGCCCCCUCCCUCCUGGAGAGAAGGUUUCAAUGCUGAGGAAACUGCCGGAGAACAGCAGAUGGAGGCCAAAACAGAAUACACAGUAGAUCACAAAACAGAGAACAACUGACUAUGGGCUGCCCAUCCCCCAUAUAGUACUACCCCUACCCCAGUGAACUUUCAGGGAAUGCUAUAGAAGAGGAGGCAUAAAGAGUAUAUGAACCGGAAGACCAGAACAUCUGCUUCAAGUUGGGGUCUUCUAGAUAAGACAGGGAAGCCACACCCAUGAAAUCUCAAAUGACACUGGUCAACAUGCCAACAGGGAUGGAAGAAAUCUCACUGGGUCCCACCCUUAGUUGAAGAACUGCAAUCAAUUGAUGACUGCAGAGAUGGGAAGAAUAUAUCUUCUCCUGGGAUAAGGCCCCUGAUGUGUUGUCUGGUUGUGUUGGUAUGCUCUGAGCAUUCGUGGCCAGCCACUUCUCAAUGGGCCACAGCAGAAUGAUGAGAGAUGGUUGGAUACCGACUUCAAGAAGACGCUUCAUACAUGAUGAAAGGAAUUGAAGGUUACCAGACACAUCUAGGCACCUGAUAUUUAAGAUGUUGAAGCCUUUCAGAAAUUCUGUCUUGAAGAAAUACAGCUUUGUGUUGAAUGUGUAGUUCAAAGUAGAUGGGAGAAGGAUGUAGACAGCUUGAAAAUAGCACCCUUCUUGUGCAGACAGACUCAGCCGUGCUUUUUGAGUGUGCCGACAAAUUCAUCCACCGCUGUUGUUCCAGAUGUUUCUGUAUAAGUUUCCAGUGAUUGAUCGGGGAAUCAUCUGUUCUCAGAGCUGAGAUGUAGAUGGUGUGGAUAAGAAACAAAUACCAACAUAAAAAAAAUCCCCAUUCUGGGGGACGAUAGAUUUCAGGAGUUCGGAUGAGUGUUUAGCAGUUGGUGUCUGCUUCUGCUUCCAUCAGCUAUGGGAUGAAGACUCUAGGAUGGCAUAUAAGUAGAAAACUACCUUUCAAAAGGAAUGCUGUCCUAAUUGAAAUGGGAAAAACUACCAGGUGUAAUCAGGCAUUUUUCUUUGAGACUCAGUGGAUUUUCCUCAAGCUGUAUAACCAUAUGAAGAAGGACUAUUACAUUAAUCCUACAAUGGCCACUUCAAAUCCUGCAAAGUCAGGAAGUUGAAAUAUAUAAAAUAAAGUCACUGGACAAUGGCCUAGAAAAUUGAAAAUAAGGAGUGAAAACACUUCUCUUUUAAGCCACAUUCAAUGUUGCAUUGGUAGCUCUGAGAAGCUAAUGUUGAAACUGGAUAAAAUAAUAGUGAUAAUAAAAAUAAUCAGUUCUAUGAAACAAGAGAUUCUCUGGACUCAAAGACCAGGUCCUGUCUGCAAGGCUGGAAACAUCUCCAAGAAGCUCUCAGCAAUCCUCAGAAACCUACUGCUCAGGAAAGAGCAGGAACAGUAUCCUUGAGACUUCGUUCUUCGCUUUCAGCACAUUGGGUAGGAAUUAUACAAAAUGUCCACAAAAUGGUUUGAAAGGAAACUGUUUGCUCAUGCUUGCUUUACCAGAGCAGAAGUCUGUGUUUACCAAAGCUGAUCUUUGGUUCAUUAAGGUUUGAUUAAGUAAUCAACAGAAAAGUAUAUGUUAUAGCUUCAUAUGCAUCUGAUAGGAUUAGUGCCUGUGUUAACCCUCCUUCCAAGAGUUUGUUUGUUUGUUUGUUUUCUGCAGUGGAUGAAGAUAAGCAGAGUCCUCCAACUGGUAGCACAGCAGAGAUUCAGACACUGCAGAAUGCUCAGCCCUAAAAUAGUCUGUGCAUCUUAUAUUCUUCCUCCUCUCAAGGCUUGGGAUCAUCAUGGAUAUGGACAGGGUUUCUUUGUGGCUUUGGAUGAUGUCCUGGAACUAGCUCUUGUAGACCAGGCUGGUCUCGAACUCACAGAGAUCUGCCCGCCUCUACCUCCAGAGUGCUGGGAUUAAAGUCUCUGAGGUUCCUGCUUCCAUGACAAGAAUACAAAUUCCAAGAUUCCAGUGUCUCUUCAGAGGAAUGUCCCACCUCUUCAGCAACAAGAAAGAACAGAUCAUUUCAUAAAACAACACUUUCAUGUUCAGUUUCCACUGUAGGUUUCCAGCUGACGGGAGCAUCCAUGAGUUAUACAAUGGUCUGCAUUUUCUAUGUGGUGAUUGUGAGGGUGGAACUGGUCACAGCCCUCUCUCAUCAUAGGAUUCUCUUUCCUUUCUUUAUCACCACCAACUGUGUCUGUUGCUCUGGAUUCCAUCAGCCUGUAAAAUCCCUAGUAUCUCUGCCUUAUGAUCCACAUCCUGGAAUUUUGCCAUCUUUUGCCUCCCAACCUUCGUGGAAGAAUGCUUUUUUCUUCAAAGGGUGUGGAAUGACUUAGUGCUAUCUCUUUUGGUGUUUUCUUCACACUCAUUUUCAUUUUGAUAAAAUUUUAAAUUAUUAAGUGCAGUGCUUCGGUAGACAGACACAAAGAUAAGACAAGACUAUAUAAAACCCAGCCUAGCCAUUUGAAAUAAACCAGGUCCAGACAUUACACUACUGCAAACCAUUUUUACAGCUGCAAAGGUGAGUUUAUUAUGCCCUAGGCAAACCAGAAAUCUAGCUUUGCACAAGAUAAUUUAUUGCUCUAACAAACUAUUCUCAUAUUCAUCUCAUGUUUGAAAAUCACAAUUUGUUUUUCAAGAAAUUAUUUUUUUAGUUCAAAUUAGAAACAAGCCUGCUUCACCUGUCACUCUCUGCCCCCUCUCCCUCCCCUCCUCCCCCACCCUCCAUCAAAUACCCACCCCAUACCCCCUCUGCUCCCCAGGGAGGGUAAGCAGAGGUAUGGAGGAUCCCCAAUGUCUAUAAUAUCAUCCUGGGCAAGGCCUAGGCCCUUCUCCAAGUGUUCAGGCUGAGAGAGCAUCCCUCCAUGUGGGAUGGGUUCCCAAAGUCCUUUCUUACUCCAGGAAUAAAAUACUGAUGUACUACUAGAGGGCCCAUAGUGUACUGAGGCCUCCUCAUUGAUAUCCACUUUCAGGGGUCUGGAUCAGUCCCAUGAUGGCCUUCUAUACAUCAGUCGGGUGUCCAUGCACUCCCCCUUGUUGAGGUCAGUUGUUUCUGUGGGUUUCACCAGCCUGGUCUUGAUCUCUUUGCUCAUCACUCCUCCCUCUCUGCAACUAGGUUCCAGAAUUCAGUUCAGUGUUUAGCUGUGGGUGUCUGCCUCUGCUUCCAUCAGCCACUGGAUGAAGGCUCUAGGAUGGCAUAUAAGGUUGUCAUCAAUCUCAUUAUAGGGGAAGGGCAUUCAUGGUAGCCUCUCCAAUAGUGCUUAGUUUGCCUGUUGGUGUCAUCCUUGUUGAUCUCUGGAAAUCUCCCUAGUGCCAGAUCUAUCCUCGAAUCUAUAUUGGCUCCCUCUAUUAUAGUAUUUCUCAUCUCUAUAGUAUUGCUGUCCUCUAUUCUUCCCCCCCCCCACUGAACUUUCCUGUUACCCCAUUUCCUCCUCUCCCCUCCUCUUCUCCCCCUCUUUUUCUCCCAGCUCCCUCUAUUCAGACAAAUACCACACCCCCAGAACAUCAUGAUCUGUAUUUAAAGAAAACAUUAAAUAAAGCAAGGCAGUGGUUCUGAGUCUGUCACACAUACAUUAGUUCAGGGGUAUCUUAAUAAGUAAGAAAUAAGCCCACAGUAGAGCAAGUUUCUUUAGCUUAAGAUUGGGUGGCAGCCUGUACAUGACACUCAGGAGAGAAAUAUUUCAGACCAUCAUGCAUAUUCAAGCAUUCGCUUAAAUUCUGUGCUAAAGCUGCAUGUCCUGACAUUUUCUCAAAAGCAAGCCUGUCCAUGCAAUGGAAAUUCACUUCUUUGCAACAGGGUUGUUCAGAAUAACUUCCAUAUGACAUAGUCACACAUUUGAUGAAGUUCAACAUCAAAUUGCUAUUAAAAUAAAUAUAACUACUAAAAUCAAUGGAGCACAUCUAUUAGCAAAAAUUGCCUUUUACCUUUUCUGGGUCAAUUCUGUAAACAUUUGGAUAAAAUACAGUAUGAAAGAAUACAGUGUUGUAUCCUUGGUAUUUUAAAUUCCGAUUUAUGCUCUGA
ensembl:lncRNA